GAUGAACGCUGGCGGCGUGCUUAACACAUGCAAGUCGAACGAGAAGUGGAGACGGAAACCUUCGGGCGGAAGACUUUACUUCGAGUAGCGGACGGGUGAGUAACGCGUGGGUAACCUGCCUCAUACAGGGGGAUAACAGUUGGAAACGACUGUUAAUACCGCAUAAGACCACAGCACCGCAUGGUGCGGGGGUAAAAACUCCGGUGGUAUGAGAUGGACCCGCGUUCGAUUAGCCAGUUGGCGGGGUAACGGCCCACCAAAGCGACGAUCGAUAGCCGAUCUGAGAGGAUGACCGGCCACAUUGGGACUGAGACACGGCCCAAACUCCUACGGGAGGCAGCAGUGGGGAAUAUUGCACAAUGGGGGAAACCCUGAUGCAGCGACGCCGCGUGAGUGAAGAAGUAUUUCGGUAUGUAAAGCUCUAUCAGCAGGGAAGAAAAUGACAGUACCUGAGUAAGAAGCCCCGGCUAACUACGUG
rnacentral:rRNA from 1 species